rfam:Triticum aestivum genome assembly, contig: Triticum_aestivum_CS42_TGACv1_scaffold_307061_4AS
GAAAGUCGUGUGCAAUGAAAAAUGCAAGCACGAUUUGGGGAGGGAUUUUUCUCUAUUGUAACAAGGAAGAAUUAAUAGAGAAAUUGUGAUUUAACUUUAC